GGAAGGAUCAUUAUCGAACUUGGAUCCGAAGGGGAAGGACGAGCGAGCGAAGCUUGCAGAAGCAUUAGAGAUCGUCGCUGGCCUUUGGAAACGAAGGCAUGUGCACGUCUCGACCCUCUGCUCGGUCCUCGUUCUCUUUCCUUUCGUAAAUCUUUGACACCCGUGCACCUCUUGUAGAUCCCUGAGAGGGGAUCUAUGUCUUCAUAAACUCUUCGUAUGUCCAGGAAUGUAUCUAAAGCGUCGACCGGCUUGGCUGAACGUCCAGUCGGCGACGGUAAAGAACGUAAUACAACUUUCAGCAACGGAUCUCUUGGCUCUCGCAUCGAUGAAGAACGCAGCGAAUUGCGAUAAGUAAUGUGAAUUGCAGAUUUUCAGUGAAUCAUCGAAUCUUUGAACGCACCUUGCGCUCCUUGGUAUUCCGAGGAGCAUGCCUGUUUGAGUGUCAUUUAACUCUCAACCAUCCCUCGACUGAUUUUUUCGAGGUUUGGCUUGGAUUUUGGGAGCUGCCGGCGACCGGAUCGGGUCCUUGGCUCUCCUCAAAAGCAUUAGCGACGGUGGUGUGACCUCCCCCGUGCAUGAACGGCCUUCGAUGUGAUAAUGAUCGUCGUGGGCUGGAGUGCUAGCGGGCGUCGCGUUCGGCGCUUCUAAUUCUCGUCGAAAGACGAAAUAUAUCGAAACUUUGACCUCAAAUCAGG
rnacentral:rRNA from 1 species